CGGGUUGUCAAGGUAACGACAGUAGUUAACUGUGGUCAGGAACUGGUCUCGGGACCCCGGUGCCAUAUGGAACCAGGAUAAACCGGUAGCACGAAAGACAGGUAGUCUACAGUGGGGGUAUUUCCUUUGUUGUUGAGAACAGCUGCCUGCUUCUGCCGGAAACAUGCAACGAGACUGAAGUCAAAGCACCAACUGUGGUGUUUGGAAGAACCCAUCCAACCAUCCACUGACUUGGACUUUUCUCGCCCCAAGUAGAUACGCUAUAGGGGCUAACUACAGGGUCAAACUCUAACAGCUGAAAUCAAGUAUUUGAUGUGUUGGGAGUGUGAAUGGGCUAUCUGGAGAGGAAGCAAGUCCCUCAGAGUUUGACAUAUUUAUACAUUAGCCAGGAACGGACAACACUGAAUACGUCUGCAUACACACUUAUGUCGAGCUACGGUCAUAGCUUGACUGGGCC